rnacentral:misc_RNA from 1 species
GAUGAAGAACGUAGUGAAAUGCGAUAAUUAAUGUGAAUUGCAGAAUUCAGUGAAUCAUCGAGUCUUUGAACGCACAUUGCGCCCCCUGGUAUUCCGGGGGGCAUGCCUGUCCGAGCGUCAUUGCUGCCCUCAAGCACGGCUUGUGUGUUGGGCUUCCGUCCCUGGCAACGGGGACGGGCCCAAAAGGCAGUGGCGGCACCAUGUCUGGUCCUCGAGCGUAUGGGGCUUUGUCACCCGCUCCCGUAGGUCCAGCUGGCGGCUAGCCUCGCAACCAAUCUUUUUAACCAGGUUGACCUCGGAUCAGGUAGGGAUACCCGCUGAACUUAAGCAUAUCAAUAAGCGGAGGA